rnacentral:lncRNA from 1 species
ACGAAGCUGAGAGACGGCCGUUUAUCCACCGGCGGUAGUAAUACACAGUACACUCUGUAUACCAUCAAUAACAAAUUUUCGAAUCAUGCUUGUUAAUCAUCCACCCAUCAAUCUCUUCUUAUUACAGAUCCGGAACAACAAAGUCGAUCAGACAAAAAGAAUAAUGAGAAACCAAUCCUGUUACAGAUCCAACACUCAAACUCUCUCUGUUUCCACUCUAUCUGCUGCUACAAACACCUGCAGAUUACAACUCCAAGAAGAAGACGGACGCCAUAUGUACAUACGCAGGAAACAUUCAAAAAGACUGAAAAUUAAGAUUGAAAAAUCAGUGGGGAUGAGAGGAGGAGAAAGGGAGGCGGCGGAGGAUGAGAAAGCGGACCCGGCGAGGGAAAGGGGCGUCGUUCACCAAGUGCUCCAGCACCCUCGCUACCAGGGCCGUGUACUCUUCUAGAAGCUCGGCUAGAACAGCUACAAGUAUCAUCUCCCCCGACAAUCAAAAGCAGCAAGCUUUAUCGACUAACCCUCUGAAAAUUGACAAGAACAGAGAUCUGUGGAGGAGUCGAUAUUAAUAAAUCGCUCUGCCCACAGCUAUCUGCUAUCCGGCUUCCACCUGUGGUUUUAAUUUUUGGUAGUUUCGAGAGAGACUGUAUCCGUUACCAAGAAGGAAACAAGGCGUAAUCCCAUUCGAGAAACGUAUAAAGAACUUAUUAUUGGAUUAUU